rnacentral:rRNA from 1 species
ACGAUGAACCACUUCGGUGGGGAUUAGUGGCGAACGGGUGAGUAACACGUGGGCAAUCUGCCCUGCACUCUGGGACAAGCCCUGGAAACGGGGUCUAAUACCGGAUAUUGACCUUCACGGGCAUCUGUGAGGUUCGAAAGCUCCGGCGGUGCAGGAUGAGCCCGCGGCCUAUCAGCUUGUUGGUGAGGUAAUGGCUCACCAAGGCGACGACGGGUAGCCGGCCUGAGAGGGCGACCGGCCACACUGGGACUGAGACACGGCCCAGACUCCUACGGGAGGCAGCAGUGGGGAAUAUUGCACAAUGGGCGAAAGCCUGAUGCAGCGACGCCGCGUGAGGGAUGACGGCCUUCGGGUUGUAAACCUCUUUCAGCAGGGAAGAAGCGAAAGUGACGGUACCUGCAGAAGAAGCGCCGGCUAACUACGUGCCAGCAGCCGCGGUAAUACGUAGGGCGCAAGCGUUGUCCGGAAUUAUUGGGCGUAAAGAGCUCGUAGGCGGCUUGUCACGUCGGUUGUGAAAGCCCGGGGCUUAACCCCGGGUCUGCAGUCGAUACGGGCAGGCUAGAGUUCGGUAGGGGAGAUCGGAAUUCCUGGUGUAGCGGUGAAAUGCGCAGAUAUCAGGAGGAACACCGGUGG